AGCUUGUUGGUGGGGUAAUGGCCUACCAAGGCGACGAUGGGUAGCCGGCCUGAGAGGGUGUCCGGCCACACUGGGACUGAGAUACGGCCCAGACUCCUACGGGAGGCAGCAGUCGAGAAGCUUCGGCAAUGGGCGAAAGCCUGACCGAGCGAUGCCGCGUGAGCGAAGAAGGUCCUUUGGAUUGUAAAGCUCUGUCAGAUUGGGAAGAAAACCUCGAGAUUAAUACCCUCGAGGCUUGACGGUACCAUCAGAGGAAGCACCGGCUAACUCCGUGCCAGCAGCCGCGGUAAUACGGAGGGUGCAAGCGUUGUUCGGAUUCACUGGGUAUAAAGGGUGCGCAGGCGGUUUGAUAAGUCAGAGGUGAAAUAUGUCGGCUCAACCGGCAAACGGCCCCUGAAACUGUCAAACUUGAGUCCGAGAGAGGUAGGUGGAAUUCCAGGUGUAGCGGUGAAAUGCGUAAAUAUCUGGAGGAACACCAGUGGCGAAGGCGGCCUACUGGCUCGGAACUGACGCUCAGGCACGAAAGCUAGGGGAGCGAACGGGAUUAGAUACCCCGGUAGUCCUAGCCGUAAACGAUGGCUACUAGGUGUUGGAGGAUUCUACCCCUUCAGUGCCGCAGCUAACGCAUUAAGUAGCCCACCUGGGGAGUACGAUCGCAAGGUUGAAACUCAAAGGAAUUGACGGGGGCCCGCACAAGCGGUGGAGCAUGUGGUUUAAUUCGAUGCAACGCGAAGAACCUUACCUAGGCUUGACAUGCAGGGGACAGAUGUAGAAAUACAUCCUUCUUCGGACCCCUGUACAGGUGCUGCAUGGCUGUCGUCAGCUCGUGUCGUGAAAUGUUAGGUUAAGUCCUGCAACGAGCGCAACCCCUGUCUUCAGUUGCCAUCAGGUAAUGCUGGGAACUCUGGAGAGACCGCCGGUGACAAACCGGAGGAAGGUGGGGACGACGUCAAGUCAUCAUGGCCCUUACGCCUAGGGCUACACACGUGCUACAAUGGUCGGUACAAAGGGCUGCAAUACAGCGAUGUGGAGCGAAUCCCAAAAAACCGGCCUCAGUUCGGAUUGUAGUCUGCAACUCGACUACAUGAAGUUGGAAUCGCUAGUAAUCGCGUAUCAGAACGACGCGGUGAAUACGUUCCCGGGCCUUGUACACACCGCCCGUCAAGUCAACCGAGUUGGCUGCACCCCAAGUCGCUGAGCUAACCCCUUCGGGGGAGGCAAGUGCCCAAGGUGUGGUUGGCGAGGGGGACUAAGUCGUAACAAGGUAGCCGUAUCGGAAGGUGCGGCUG
rnacentral:rRNA from 1 species